AUGCCGGAUGACGACGGGAUGGCGCCUUCGUACUUCUACGACGACACUCCCUACUCGGAGUGGGCUGCAGCGUUGGCCGCGGGCGAGCACCAUGAUGAGGCGCCUGCUACAUCCACCGACGACCUCCAACUCAAGGCGUCCAUGGGCGCCAUCAGCUCGACUCUGUCCGAGCUCGCCGCGCCUACAGCACCAACUUCGUCCACGACCAUCGACAACGCCGUCCUAGAGCUUAGUGUGAGUGACAAGGUGCUCGAAGCCGACGCCGCUAUGAUGCCCACCACCUGUUCGACGGGGUGCCCAAGUUGUGACAAGCCCGAGGAGUCGGAACUCACCUUGUUCAAAUCACUACCUUCAUCCAUGAUCGUCGACAACGUCGCCCAUGAACCUGAACCCGACCACGACAUCAACAAGGAUGACCCCUUGGUGGCAUGCCCGACCCUUUGGAGUAUGUGUACGUAG
rnacentral:rRNA from 1 species